rnacentral:misc_RNA from 1 species
UGAAUAUCCUUUUAAUUAUUUUAAUGGGAAUUUUUAUCUCUAAAUUUAUUUACAUACUAUUGAAGGAGUUUAUAUGGCUAAAAUGCGACCUUGUGUUAUUUGCGAAAAACAACUUGCUCUUGACGCAACGACUUGCCCUAAUUGUGAUACGAAAGAUCCAUUUCAUGAAGCACGAAAUAAAAAUAGGUUAGCUGUUGUUGUUGGCGUUGCCAUUGCUGUUUACUUGGCAUUUGACCAUUUCAGAGGCAGUUUUAAUUUCUUGGGCUAAUUGAAUUAUUGAUAGUUCUAACUCAC